rnacentral:misc_RNA from 1 species
UAAUAAGUGUUUUAUGGCACUUUUUAAAUCCAUAUCCACCUUGUGUGCAAUGUCAGUCGAUCUUCUUCAUGGAGAUCGACCAAACAUCAACCUUUAUCUUUUAACUCUUUGUGUCUGAAAAAUAUUAUGAAUAAACAAUUCAAAAUA